rnacentral:lncRNA from 1 species
AAAAGGAUAUAUCUAUCUAACCAUAAUCUAAUAUCUAGGGUCUUAAAAUGUCUUCAGUUCUCGUGUGGCUCCUUCAUAAAUUACGAGCGAACGAGUUUUGGAUUAGUAUAGAGAUUUUUUUUUUUUUUUGGUGAGUAGCUUAGUAUAGAGAUUAGAGACAGAACAUCGGUGAACAUAGAUUAUUUCUAUUAGCUAUAAAUUAUCCUAUUUGAUUAGCCCAAAAUAAUAAUUAUCAAUUACAAUAAUACUUAUGUCGUGAAUC